UACGAAGGGGGCUAGCGUUGCUCGGAAUCACUGGGCGUAAAGCGCACGUAGGCGGAUUUUUAAGUCAGGGGUGAAAUCCUGGAGCUCAACUCCAGAACUGCCUUUGAUACUGGGAAUCUCGAGUCCGGGAGAGGUGAGUGGAACUGCGAGUGUAGAGGUGAAAUUCGUAGAUAUUCGCAAGAACACCAGUGGCGAAGGCGGCUCACUGGCCCGGUACUGACGCUGAGGUGCGAAAGCGUGGGGAGCGAACGGG
rnacentral:rRNA from 1 species